GCAAACAUGAUGCUAGAGAUAUGUACAGUAUGUGGUCAACACUUAGCAUAUAAUAGGUCCAACUCCUAUCUUAAGAUCUGCGCUCAUAAUUUGAAUGUAGUGCUUUUUUCACAUCAUGGCAUGAAUUACCUGCCCAUAUCUUUAGUUAAGAUAUGGAAAAUCUGCACGUCUCAAGAGAGCACAUCUCAUUAAAACACAUUUCGGGCCAGUUUCUCAGACACAUGAAGUGUAUACCUCAGGCCCUUAUAUAUCAAGCACGUGCUAGGAUCAGGUUCCCCCUGUCCAUGUAAUGUUAUUAAUUGAAAAGGAUAAACUGAUCCCAAGUCAGCACUCCUACUCUAAGAGGUUUGACACAUACAGCACCUGGACUAAUACUUAAUCCCUUACAAUGGAGUUUUUCCAUUGAACAAGAUUUUUUGUACACCGCUAGGCUUAAUAUGUGUCCGGAAAUCGGAUCUUGGUGUAUGAUUAAUUUACUUUCUCAGCAGAGCAAUCAAUUGCAAAGAAUCUGUCUUCGUUUUUCACUUCAGUGUCUGAAAUUGUGCCUUUAACAUGGCCUGUUCAGUGAUUUAAUGGCUAGGCAGCCACCAUGUGGCUGACUCCUAAUUCUUGGAGUUGAUGUAUCUUGGGCCCCCAAGCUGGGGCAUUAAUUGAUGCCACUUCAACCCAGUGUGGGGCACCCCAGUUCAAAGCCCUCACUCUCCUCACGGUACCCCAGACGCUCUGGUGCAGAGAAAUACACACAACCUCCUGUAUCCCCAUCAGUGCCUCUUUUUAAUCUUUGAGAAAAUAUCUGACUGGGGCUGAUUCAAUCUGAUUGCGGGUUAUAGGCAAUGUGGUUUUAAAGGCAAUCUUCCCAGGUUUGUGGAGAUCCAAUUCACAGUAAACGCUGUAAAUGUUGGCUCAAUCGGAAAUUGCCUUUAAAAGCUGCAAUGCCUAUAUCCUGGCCUAACUUUAUGUGUUGCUGUCACGUUCUGACCUUAGUUCCUUUUUUAUGUCUUUAUUUUGGUUUGGUCAGGGCGUGAGUUGGGGUAGGCAUUCUAUGUUGUUUUUCUAUGUUUGGAUUUCUGUGUUUGGCCUGGUAUGGUUCUCAAUCAGAGGCAGCUGUCGAUCGUUGUCUCUGAUUGAGAAUCAUACUUAGGUAGCCUGUUUUCCCACUAUGGGUUGUGGGUAGUUGUUUUCUGUGUCUGUGUUUGUGUCUGUCCAUACAGAACUGUUUCAGUCUCGGUCAUUCUCUUUUUGUUUUGUCAUUCAGUGUUCAGUUGUUUUCAUUAAAAUGGACACUUACCACGCUGCACAUUGGUCCGAUCUUUCAUACUCGUCAUCAGACGAGGACGAGUACCGUUACAGUUGCGUUUUCUCAUGGGUGGUUGUAUAUGCAUUUGAAGAUGAAAAAUAGAUAGCACACCCAAUGAAGUUCAAUUACACCCUGGGUAAAUUCAAAUUAAUAUUAUGCAGUGGGGGAAUAUAGCAAUUUAUGACUUUUUCCUUUGAGUAAAAGAUACAUUGAUGAAUAAGGAUGAGUAAGGAGGUUAUAUAUUCAAAAUAUUUUUUUUAGGACUCUAUAAAAUCUGAUCGCUGUAACGUUAAAGAUUGCGCAAUAGAAAUGUCAUGGUAAUUUCAACAUUUGUUUAGAGACAUAUUAUUUCACUUAGAAUUCACUGUAUCACAAUUCCAGUGGGUCAGAAGUUUACAUACACUAAGUUGACUGUGCCUUUAAACAGCUUGGAAAAUUCCAGAAAAUUAUGUCAUGGCUUUAGAAGCUUCUGAUGGGCUAAUUGACAUAAUUUGAGUCAAUUGGAGGUGUACCUGUGGCUGUAUUUCAAGACCUACCUUCAAACUCAGUGCCUCAUUGCUUGACAUCAUGGGAAAAUCAAAAGAAAUCAGCCAAGACCUCAGAAUUGUUUUUUUAGACUCCUCAUUCUUGGGAGCAAUUUCCAAAUGCUUGAAGGUACGAUAUUCAUCUGUACAAACAAUAGUACACAAGUAAAAACACUAUGGGAACACACUGCCAUCAUACCGCUCAGGAAGGAGACACGUUCUGUCUCUUAGAGACGAACGUACCUUGGUGCGAAAGUGCAAAUCAAUCCCAGAAAAACAACAAAGAACCUUGUGAAGAUGCUUGAGGAAACCGGUACAAAAGUAUCUAUAACCACAGUAAAACAAGUCCUAUAUCGACAUAUCCUGAAAGGCUGCUCAGGAAGGAAGAAGCCACUGUUUCAAAACUGCCAUAAAAAAGCCAGACUACAGUUUGCAAAUGCACAUGGGGACAAAUAUUGCACUUUUUUGAGAAAUGUCCUCUGGUCUGAUGAAACAUAAAUAGAACUGUUUGGCCAUAAUGACCGUCAUUAUGUUUGGAGGAAAAAGGGGGAGGGCUUGAAAGCCGAAGAACACCAUCCCAACCGUGAAGCAUGGGGGUGGCAGCAUCAUGUUGUGGGGGUGCUUUGCUGCAGGAGGGGCUGGUGCAUUUCACAAACUAGAUGGCAUCAUGAGGAUGGAAAAUUUUGCAAUAUUUUGAAGCAACAUCUCAAGACAUCAGUCAGGAAGUUAAAGCUUGGACGCAAAUGGGUCUUCCAAAUGGACAAUGACACCAAGCAUACUUCCAAAGUUGUGGAAAAAUGGCUUAAGGACAACAAAGUCAAGGUAUUGGAGUGGCCAUCACAAAGCCCUGACCUCAAUCUUACAGAAAAUUUGUGGGCAGAACUGAAAAAGCGUAUGCGAGCUAGGAGGCCUACAAACCUGACUCAGUUACAGCAGCUCUGUCAGGAAAAAUGGGCCAAAAUUCACCCAACUUAUUGUGGGAAGCUUGUGGAAGGCCACCCGAAACGUUUGAACCAAGUUAACCUGCAACAAUUUUGCUACCAAAUACUAAUGGAGUAUGUGUAAACUUCUGACCAACUGGAAAUGUGAUGGAAGUAAUAAAGGCUGGGAAUAAAUCAUUAUCUCUACUAUUAUUCUGACAAUUCACAUUCUUAAAAUAAAGUGGUGAUCUUAACUGACCUAAGGCAUGGGAUUUCUACUAGGAUUAAAUGUCAGGAAUUGUGAAAACGGAGUUUAAAUGUACUUGGCUAAGGUGUAUGUAAACUUCCGACUUCAACUGUAGCCCUACAGAAUUCUAGACUAAUACAUUGACUUUUUUAAUGAAUUGAGUUGAAUCAAGUCUAAUCGAGUUAAAUGUUGCGUUAAUAUAGCAGUAUUGAAUUCAUUGCGUCAGGUUGAUUUAGCAGAUAAGAGUGAAGUGAAAACCCCACGGUACAAAAAAUAAGUCUUCAUAAAGCACCGGUAGGUAACCCGUCUUUUGAACGUAAGGAGAUUACAGUAUAAUCAGAAUGUUUGCUCCUUACUAAUGAGUGUGGUGUAUGUGAUAUUCUGCCAGCCAGAACAAUAUGGAUUAACAUCCACCUUCAGACCUAGGAUGAGAUAUAAAAAAGGAUGAGACAGAUUAUGUCCGAAGAGAGAACAGGAAGUCGUAGACUAUACACAGCAGACAGUUUCAUUUAGUUCCAUUCAGCUCUGGGGGCUCUAUUGGAAACUCAGUGCCCUCUAAAAUCUUUAGGUUUAUGAAACCACCGACUGAUCCAGUUUUUCAUCUCGUUUUAGCUUCAGGCUAUCCAUAGAGGGUCAUACUGAACUCAGUGACCUUAGCAUGUUAUCCAAUGAUGAACCCGGGUUUGAUCUUCAAUGGGACGCCAUUGGUGUGUGUAAGUUAUUUGUUGUCUUUUCAAACCCCCCACCCUCCUCCCCACCCCGGCGAGUGUAUCAGUAACAUCAUCAAAGCAUCAAAAGGGCUGCGUUCAGGCACAACUGGUGUAUUGUACUGUAUGUGUAAACAAAUGUUGCUGGCCUUAAAGGAGAGACACACUAGCACUUCAGAAGUUUCCUACGAGCCGAGGGAAGCAGGUGAAAAAAUAGAAAGUGCAUUGAACUUUGAACCCAAGUUCCGUGUUGGGGUCAACGCUUCCUUCAAUGGUAUCCUUUCAGAGAAGCCAAAGUGUGUGUGUGUGCGUGUGCGUGUGCGUGUGCGUGUGCGUGUGCGUGUGCGUGUGCGUGUGCGUGUGCGUGUGCGUGUGUGUGUGUGUGAGAGAGAGAUAAAAAGAGACUGUGUUUGUGUGAUACUGCGUGUGUGUGAUAGUGUGUUUCUGUGUGUGUGCCAGAGCAUGUGUAUGUGAGUGAAUGAGAAUGUGUAUGCGUGAUACUGCGUGUGUGUGUAGCUGCGAGGGGAGCUCAUCUUGCCUCUGUCUCUUUGAAGCCUCUAUGCUAUAAUAGUGAGCUGUUUUUAUACAGCGAUGGCCGCCGACACUGACUUCCUGUCUCGGCAUAUCCUUCGUCGUCUCGGCGGACACUUCAGAAAAACUUCCCUGGCCAAACACCUUUCUCACAUUAAAGGCUGGGAGGAGGGGGCAGAAUGCUGAUGUCUCACACAAUAUGCACAUUUCUGUUAGUGAUUAUUUUUGUCCAUGUAAGAAAGUGUCAAAAAAUAUUUAUAACAAAAGAGGAAAAGUUGAUAAGCGGAUGAUAAAAUUAUGUGCAACUUUUCAAUUGAAACAUUGGUUUCCUCUUUUUGGAGGGAAAAUCGUAAGAUGAAAAAGGUUCUGUGGUCAAACAGUCUUCUUAUAUUAAAACUGCAGAGGAUGGGAGGAGAGGAGGGAAGAACGAUAGGGAUGGAUGAGAGGUGAAGGGUCCUGACCCCACCCCAGUUAGGAAGAGAACAGAGACAUGUCAGUCAAAAUAAACACAGCAACACAAACCGUUUGAAUGGCCAAACCCCAUCUGCCGAUGCACCUCACAGACAGUAAACAGUGCUUGAAAUACACCCCCAGAGUAAAAUAAUGCAGCGUAUUGUGCAAGAAUGCAAUAACCAGUAGACUUCCAGUAUGGCAACCGAAAGCACUCCCUAGCGGAGCUGGGCUCAAAUAGUAUUUGAGAAUAACAUAACUUUAUUGAUCCUCAAGGGAACCCCAAGGGGAAAUAAAUGUAUAUUCUAUAAAGGUUUUUAAAUACUUUUUGAACACAGGUCUGCUCCCGGGGGCUAGCCAAGUUAAACACAGUUUUACAAUGCCUGUUCUAGAUACACAAAUGCACGGUGCUCCUCACAGCUGAGAUAACAUGGGGGUCAGAGAUGAAAGAGGAGAGGGUUCACAGAGGAUGGGUUCCACAUGGUCCCGGGAACCAGGCCACACAGAUGGAAUACAGAAUCGUAGAUAGACAUGUGACUAGUGUUUGCUUCUAGAGCACCAGCUUCUUACAAGAUGUUUAAGCAAAGCCAUAUGGGAUCAAAUCUGUGGAGCUUGAAUGUAUACCAGGGUACUAGCAAUGGUUAAGGAGUUAACACAAUCGCUCUCUUUUUAUCCUAUCCAAUAAACAUUAAAGCUUAAAUCCUUAGUUGCUAAAUCCAUUCUUAGACUUAUAAAUUAAUGAUAUAUACCCAUUGAUUAUUGAAGAACAUAACUUAUAAAUGAGCUUAGUUCAACUGUCGUACCCAUUCAGAACCCAUCAUAUUGGCUUGUUCUACUCCAUUGUUUGUAAACAAUGUAAAUGUAAACAAACACUGUACAGUCUCAAAGCAUAGCCUGGUUGUAGUCUCUGUUCAGCUAUUACAUUCCACAAUGUGCCAGUCAUGUCAUUUGCCAAAGAGUUCUUCAAAUAUUAGCAGUCUAUCAUUAAUGAUCUGGAGGAGAUCAGAGGAUUUGAUUCUGACUCAAUAACCCUCACCCAAUUGGGCAAGGAGGUCAAGUCUAUCCUACAUUGGUUCAAGAAACAAAAUGAAUUUAACCAGUGUGCUCCAAGUGGGACUGCUAUCAUCCAAUCAAAAUGUUUAUGCAAAUUAGACAGUUUUCCUAAUAAACUGAAUUCAUACAUUUGAUAUGAAACAUUCUAACAUUGGGGAGUCUCAUGUAAUACAUUUUAUUAUAAACAGAGAAAUAUGGCGCUGGAAGAACAGAGGAUUCCCGUUCAUUUGUAUUUUUACCACCAGCCAUAGUGAUCACAUCAUACCAGAAAAGCUCUCGCCCUUCAAACGUCCCUGCAAGUUCAUUGUGAACACGGCAGUCUAUUUUAUUUCCAGCAAGCAAGAGCAAGGUGCUUCUUUCCUCGAAUAUAUCUUUUUUAUUAUUACUCAAAAUAAGUGACCAAGCUAUACUGCUACUUCUGGGACACGCAUAGGGCUAGGCUAUUGGUUCAAGAGCUAUACGAGGAAUGGAGAGAGGCCAGCGAAGAUGCUAGUGAAGAUGCAUGAAUUGCGCAAGAUUGCACAUGAACGGCGUGUAUUACAUGUAGUGCACGAAUUAUACAAAGAGGUGUAAAUUAGAAGUUCCGUCAUAGGCUGAGCUAUUAACCCAUCAUCCGUAUAACAGCCUGUAUUUUAGGCCUUGCCUACUACAGUGAAUUUGGGCAACCACCUGUGCUGUGCAAGCCAGAGACAAAAAACAUAUUUUGGGUGACGCACAUUAACAAAUGUGUCAGUUUAAUUAAAAGUGCAAUAAAAAAGUAUAGAGCCUUGGCCUAUGUAAUGAAACCUUGUCGGCAACAGAUCACAAAUCAGGGAAUCCCCAAUUCCCCACUGAGGUCCUUCUUGGAAAUGGCAAGUUCACUUUCUCAUCAAUACAUUUAUAUCAAGUGCAAGUGUGCUAUCCAGCAGCUCACAUCAACAGGAUGGGGGGCCUUUUCAUUAGACGUCUAAUGUGGAUGGCUAAAAUACACUGCUCAAAAAAAUAAAGGGAACACUUAAACAACACAAUGUAACUCCAAGUCAAUCACACUUCUGUGAAAUCCAACUGUCCACUUAGGAAGCAACACUGAUUGACAAUACAUUUCACAUGCUCUUGUGCAAAUGGAAUAGACAAAAGGUGGAAAUUAUAGGCAAUUAGCAAGACACCCUCAAUAAAGGAGUGUUUCUGCAGGUGGUGACCACAGAUCACUUCUCAGUUCCUAGUUCCUAUGCUUCCUGGCUGAUGUUUUGGUCACUUUUGAAUGCUGGCGGUGCUUUCACUCUAGUGGUAGCAUGAGACGGAGUCUACAACCCACACAAGUUGCUCAGGUAGUGCAGCUCAUCCAGGAUGGCACAUCAAUGCGAGCUGUGGCAAGAAGGUUUGCUGUGUCUGUCAGCGUAGUGUCCAGAGCAUGGAGGCGCUACCAGGAGACAGGCCAGUACAUCAGGAGACGUGGAGGAGGCCGUAGGAGGGCAACAACCCAGCAGCAGGACCGCUACCUCCGCCUUUGUGCAAGGAGGAGCACUGCCAGAGCCCUGCAAAAUGACCUGCAGCAGGCCACAAAUGUGCAUGUGUCAGUAUAUGGUCUCACAAGGGGACAAAAAUGUAAUGAUGAUCAGCAUUCCGUUCCUUCAGAAAGUCCUUUAGACACACCCCUUUACUUUUUCCUAUUCUGUUGUGUUACAAAGAGGGAUUCAAAUGUAUUAAAUGGUAAUUUGUUGUCAUCGAUCUACACAAAAUAUUCUGUAAUAUCAAAGUUGACAAAAAUGUGAAUAUUUGUACGAAUAAAUAUGAAAAAUUAAACACGAAAAUAUCUUCAUUAGAAAAAUAAUUCACAUCACUUGACUUGUUCCAUAUUUUGUUGUGGUAGUCUCAAUUUAAAAUUAAUUAAACUGAUAUUUUGUGUCACUGGCCUACACACAAUACCUCAUGAUGUCAAAGUGGAAUUAUGUUUUUUUUGUUUUUGUUUUUUUUUAUUAAUAAAAAAUGAAAUGUAAAAAUGUAUUGUGUUCAAAGAGUAUUCAACCCCUUUGCUACGGCAUGCCUUCAGGAGUAAACAUUUGCUUAACAACUCACAUUAUAGGUUGCAUGGACUUCUGUCUGUGUGCAAUAAUAGUGUUUAACAUGAUUGUUGAACGACUACCUCAUCUCUAUAGCCCACACAUAUGAUUACCUGGAAGGUUCCUCAAUCGAGCAGUGAAUUUCAAACACAGAAUCAACCACAAAGACCAGGGAGAUUUUGCAAUGCCUCUCAAAGAAGGGAACCAUUUAGUAGACUCAAGGUUUAGAAUAGUUACGUAAUUAAAAUAUAUUACUCUUUAACUUCUACUUCAUCCCAAUCCCGGAUCCGGGAGCACCCCCAUCAGUAAAAAAGCUGACUAGCAUAGCCUAGCAUAGCGUCACAAGUAAAUACUAGCAUCUAAAUAUCAUUAAAUCACAAGUCCAAGACACCAGAUGAAAGAUACACAUCUUGUGAAUCCAGCCAUCAUUUCUGAUUUUUAAAAUGUUUUACCGGGAAGACACGAUAUGUAUUUCUAUUAGCUAACCACGAUAGCAAAAGACACAACUUUUUUUCCCACCAUUUUUUUUCCUGCAUAGGUAGCUAUCACAAUUUCGACCAAAUAAAGAUAGAAAUAGUCACUAACCAAGAAACAACUUCAUCAGAUGACAGUCUGAUAACAUAUUUGUUGUAUAGCAUAUGUUUUGUUAGAAAAAUGUGCAUAUUUCAGGUUUAAAUCAUAGUUUUACAUUGCAGCCACCAUCACAACUCUCACCAAGGUAACUAGAAUAACUACAGAGACCAACGUGAAUUACCUAAAUACUCAUCAUAAAACAUUUAUGAAAAAUACACAGCGUACAGCAAAUGAAAGACAAAGAUCUUGUCACGAAUCCCGCUUCCUGAGUCUGUUUUUGCCUGUGUUCUGUCCUGGAAUGUUUUUUCCGGUGUCCUGGAACACACCCUGUCUGGUUGCCGGGCGACGUAGCUAGUUGGAGGAUCUCUGAGUACCCGCACCUGUAUCCCAUCAGCUAUCUGCACACCUGGUCCUGAUCAUCACCCCUCCACUUCAUAAGCGCUGACCUGACAUCCAUUCCCUGCCGGAUCGUUAGCCACGAACAGUAUGUUGUGCCAGCGUAUCAGCCUCCAGUUUGAUAGAGUUUGUUUUGUUGUUUUGUACGUCUUGCUUGCCUUGAACUCACCUCCGUUUUUUCUGUCUACAGUCAUUCACCCGGAACACUCAUCCCAUCCCUACCUGGUCGUCGGUGACUUCAGUUACUUCCUUGGAUCUGCCAAUUCAAUCCCAUCAACUCACCUCCGCGGCCCGUACCGCCACUUGGAUUUUUCUAUCACUACAUUUAAACUUGUAAAUAAAUACUCACCUUCGUCUUACUCUCCUUGUCCUGGUCUGCUUCUGGGUUCUACUUUGGAAACCCGUGACAGAUCUUGUGAAUCAAGCCAAUAUUUCUGAUUUUUUAAGUGUUUUACAGCGAAAACACAAUAUAGCAUUAUAUUAGCUUACUACAAUAGCCAACCACACAGCAGCAUUGAUUCAAGCCAACAAUAGCGAUAACGAAUAAACCAGCAAAAGAUAUAAAUUUUUUCACUAACCUUCUCAAACCUCUUCAGAUGACAGUCCUAUAGCAUCAUAUUACACAAUACAUAUAGAGUUUGUUCGAAAAUGUGCAUAUUUAGCGGCACAAAUCGUGGUUAUACAAUGAGAAUAGUAGCCAAGCUGACAACAAAAUGUUGGGAGAAAUCUUGGGAGGCACCUAAUCUAAUCAUUAACUAAUCAUAAACUUGACAAAAAAAUACAGGUUGGACAGCAAAUGAAAGAUACAUUAGUUCUUAAUGCAACCGCUGUGUUACCUUUUUUAAAUUAACGUUACUACGACAUACAGCGUGAAAAGAGGAGUUCUAUAGGAUUGCAGAUGGUCUGCAAUGCUGACUGUGUGAUCAGCAAUGUUGUGGCAAAAUGGCCUGGCUCAGUCCAUGACUCCAGAAUCUUUCGGGCCUCUGAAAUCUAUCAGUGCCUAUCACAAGGUGAAUUCUCUGGUAUGUUGCUGGGAGACAGGGGGUAUGGCUGCCAGCCUUUUCUCCUGACAACUUUCACAGACCCCCAGGAAGCACAGCAGGCCUACAACCAUGCCCAUGCCAGGACCAGGGCCAGAGUUUAAAUGACCUUUGGCCUCCUGAAGGCACGCUUUCACUGCCUUCACAAAUUAAGGGUCAGCCCUGUUAGGGCAUGUGAUAUUACUGUGGCUUGUGCUGUCCUCCACAAUGUGGCCUGCCUGAGGAAGGAGAGGGCCCCCAGAGUGCCACCAGCCAUGGACUGGGACAAUCCGGCAAUCUUCCCUGAUGACGACAGUGGUCGGCUGCUGAGGGACCAAUAUGUGUUGAAUUAUUUUAGUUAGUAUGUGUGCUUUCAAUUUUGGUUAAAUAUGUCCUGCGGUGGCAGAGGAAUUUGGUUUUUUUUGGGUUCGUUUUUUUACGAAUUUGGCCUCUUAUGAUGUUUGUGCGGUAUACUGUGUGUAAUACAAGGCUGCAGGGAGGCUACUGCAUCCAUUCAUUUGUCUGUUCAGUUGAUGUGUAUGGAUUUGUCCUGCAUUUAUUUUAGUGUGCAGACAUGCAGGGUGUGUUAUAUACAGACCUUUGAAUGUGUAUGUAUCAUUUUGUAUAAUAUGCUUGGAUUCUGUGCUUUCCAUCUUGUAGAGUCACUGUGUCUUCAGUUUCGAAAGGAGCUGAUGGUUUACCU